rnacentral:lncRNA from 1 species
AUACUUUGCAUCAAUAAUAGGUUAACCCUCGAUGCGCCAUAUUUCGAGUCCUUUGAUUUGUUAAUAGAAUGACCCAUAUGUGGUUUCCUUGAUUUGCCUCUUCAUUCUUUCCAUUUUCAUAUUUUCUUUUCUUUUUGAUCAUUGUGUAACAUUGUUGCUUGAGAUUAACUUUGUGUUAAUUCUCUAACUUAUCGGACACAUACAUUGUUAUUGACCGGCCUAAGAUAGGUAUGGCUUCUACAUAAGCCUACUUACGAUUGCUUAACAUAGCGCUAAAUUGUCCUGACACAAUUCAUUGACCAUUAACUAUUAACAUUACUUCUUGCUCUUUACAUU